rnacentral:lncRNA from 1 species
AGGGCCACAUUUCGAGCACCUAGGAGGAUUGCAAGGGAUAGAUUUGCUAGUAAUGGGAGGGCUGGACCUAGUUCAUCUGUUAUUUAAAGAUUUUUAUUAUGUUGUAAGUAGUGUUGCAAUAGUUGUAAGUGAUAGACAUCUCCUUUUUUGGAUGUAAACCAUAUUAGUCUUGGCACUUUAUUUCUAUAUAGUAUUUUAAAAAGUGUAAAUGGCGGUCCCAUUUC